rnacentral:rRNA from 1 species
UACGUAGGGUGCGAGCGUUAAUCGGAAUUACUGGGCGUAAAGCGUGCGCAGGCGGUUCUGCAAGUCAGAUGUGAAAUCCCCCGGGCUUAACCUGGGAACUGCGUUUGAAACUACGGAGCUAGAGUGCGGCAGAGGGGGGGUGGAAUUCCACGUGUAGCAGUGAAAUGCGUAGAUAUGUGGAGGAACACCGAUGGCGAAGGCAGCCCCCCUGGGCCGACACUGACGCUCAGGCACGAAAGCGUGGGGAGCAAACAGG